rnacentral:lncRNA from 10 species
GUUUCACUUUUAUUGCAUCGUCAACAGAUUUGAUGUUUUUAAAAAUAUUUGUAGUGGUCCUCCUAAUGGGUGUGAGGUGAUUUUGUUUGUCAGUGGUUUUUUUUGUUUUUUUGUUUUUUUUUUCAUUUCUUUACAAGUUAGUAAUUUUUUGUGUCCUUUCAAAUGCUUUUUCCCAUUUGUGUACUUGUCUAAUGAAAAAUUUUUUGUCCAUUUCUAAAUCAAGUUAUUCAAUUUUAUUGUUUAAAGAGUUGUUUAUAUAUUUUGAAUAUUAACUUCUUUCACAUGUGAUUUGCAAAUGUUUUCACCCGUUUUCUAAGGGAUGUUGUUACUCUUGAAUUGUUUUUUGGUAUGCAGAAAUUUUGAAGUCUAGUGUAGUUAAACUUUUCUGUUAUUUCAUUUGCUGCUCAUGCAUUUAAUUUUGUAGCUAAGAAAAUGAUGCCAAGACCAAUGUCAUGUCUUUUUUCCGUAGUUUUUCUAAAAGAUUUGUUAGUUUUUUUAUGUCCAAGCAUUUUAUUUAAAAUAUAUUUUAAUUCAAGGAAAUAAUCCAACUUUUUUAUCAGUUUUGAUAUUCAGUUUUCAACAUCAUUUUUUGAAGAGAUUAUUUUUCUCUGUUUUGUGCUCAUGGCAACGUUGUGGAAGAUCAUUUGAUCAUAUAUAGAAGGGUUCAUUUCUGAACUCUAUUUUGUUCUUUCAUCUGUUAAUCUUUGUGUCAAUAUCACACUGUUUAUGUUCUGUAGCUUUUAACUGUAGGUUGGAUUGACAAAUUUUAUUUUUCAAAGAUGUCAAUACAACCUACAGUUAAAAGCUAUGGAAUUUAAACAAUGUGAUACACAAAGACAAACAGAUAAAAGAACAGAAUAGAGAGCUCAGAAAUAAACCGUUCUGUAUAUGAUCAAAUGAUCUUCCACAGAGUUGCCAUGCAUACAAAAUAGAGAGAAAUAAUCUCUUCAAAAAAUGAUGUUGAAAACUGAAUGUCAACACUGAUAAAAUGAAGUUGGAUUAUUUCCUUGAAUGAUACAAUAAUAUAUUUUAAAUAAAAUACUUAGACAUAAAAAUAAACAAAUGGGAAAAAGCAUUUGAAAAAACACACAAAAUUACUAAUUUGUAGAGAAAUGAAAACAAAAAACACAAUACCAACAAAAUCGCCUCACACUCAUUAGGUGUAAAAAUAAAAUCCAUGUUGAUUGCUGGUGGAAAACAAAGACACAGCCAUUAUUUUAAAAUGUUAUAAAUAUUCCUCAUUUAUAAAUCUAUAUCUAAAAUAUGUAACACAGGCCAGGUGCAGUAGCUCAAGCCUGUAAUCCUAGCACUUUGGGAGGUUGAGGUGGGCAGAUAACCUGAGGUCAGGAGUUUGAGACGAGCCUGGCCAACAUGGUGAAAUACCAUUUCUACUAAAAACACAAAAAUUACCUUGGCGAUGUGACGUGCACCUGUAAUCCCAGCUACUUGGGAGGCUGAGGUAGGGGAAUCACUUGAACCCAGAAGGCAGAGCUUGCAGUGAGCUGAGAUCGCACCACUGCACUUUAGCCUGGGCAACAGAGCAAGAUUCCAUCUCAAAAAAAAAAAAAAGAAAGAAAGAAAAAGAAAGAAAGAAAGAAAACAACAACAAAAAAACAAAAUAUGCAACACAGGACCUGGAAGACAUAAUUGAAAAUACAUGUAUUUUGUACCAGUAUUCACAAAAGCCAAAAGGCUAAACCAGCAUAUAUCUCUUAAUUUAUAAACACAUCAAAAAAUAUAACAUACACAUACAAUGGAAUAUUAUUCCACUUUAAAAAGAAUAAUCUUGUCACAUUUUAAGAUGAACAUUGAAAAUAUUAUGCCACCUGAAUUAAUCCAGUAACAAAAUUAUGGAUACUGUAUGAUUCCACUUAUAUGAGAUAUCUUAAGUAGUCAAAAUCAUAAAAUCAGAAAGUAGAAGGUUUGUCUGUCAAGGGCUGGAAAGAGUGUAAAAUGAGCAGUUGUUACUUAAUGGGCAUUGAGUUUUAGUUUUACAAGAUGUAAAGUUUCUAGAAGCCUUUUGCAUGACAGUGUGAAUAUAAUUAACAUGCCUGAAAUGAACAGCUCUUUUUUUGAGACGGGGUCUCACUGUGUCACCUAAGCUAAAGUGUAGUGGCACAAUUUUGACUCCCCCUCAAUCUCCCAAGUAGCUGGGACCACAGCUGCACACCACCAUGCCUGGCUAUUAUUAAUUUUUUUUAUAGAGGAGAGUCUCCAUAUGCUGCCCAGGCUGGUCUCAAACUUUUGGGCUCCAGGUAUCCUCCUGUCUUGGCCUCCCAAAAUCCUGGGAUUACAGAUCAGAGCCACCACCACGCCUGGCCCUGAAAUGUACACUUCAAUAGAUUUAAGAUGGUAAAUUUUACAUUAUGUGUUUUUAAAACAAUUUUUUUAAAGAAAAACUGAAAAAAAAAUUACAUAUUUUUUUGAAAAUUACCUUCAAAUCACAAAAAUGUUUCUCUCAUGAAAGGAAAUACAUAAGUAAAACCAAAACACCCAAUAAACUAAUGGUAAGAAACCUACAC